rnacentral:lncRNA from 1 species
UUCGUUUUUAUACAGGAAAAAAUGAAAUUGGAUCAAUACCUGUAUCAGUUAACUAUUGUUACAAAACUGUAAUAUGGGCUGCUAAGGAGGUAGACAAACAUAGUCCCUGCCUUCCGAAAGAUCACAGCCUAGCAGAAGAGAGAGAUAACAUCCAUUUCAUUCAUGUCUACUCCACCCAACAGCUCCCUAAGGGCUGGAAACAUUCCUCAGUCAAAUGUGAGUUGGAUGGAUGGAUGGAUGAUGAUAAUGAAGAUUAAUUAUGUCAAAUCAACAAAGGAGGCUGUAAAUAAAGAGAUAGGGCAGGGAAGUGGGGAAGUGGAAUGCUCCAAAAAUGAGGAGUUAAGACUUGUGGUCCUACUCUUGGUUCUGCCACUUACUAGUGUUAACUUGGAUAAGUCGUCUAAGCUUUAAAUUUCAUGAGGGAGUUGGAGAAAAUGGCUGCCAAGAUCUCCUUUUUGUUCUUUUUCUUUUUAAUCAUAAAACGAAAUUCACCAAUUUUAAAAUCAGAUUGAAAAGUUCUUUCUGAUCCCAGCAUUUUUCCAAAUGAAUUGAACAAAUUCAAGUGUUUUAUAACUCUUGGCCCUUUUAAAAAUUAACUAUAAUUGAAGCAUCUUCUUGAACAGAGUUCUUUACAAAACACACACACACACACACACACACACACACACACACACACACACUUAAAUCCAAGCAAUUUCCUUGCAAUAUCUCUCUGUGGAUAUAUAAACUUUUAACCUCUUACCUUGAAUAGAGUUUCUACAUUUGCCCUAUUUAGUCAACAAUAAAAGUCAAAUAUGCCAUUUUUUAUAAAUUAUCUGCUAGCAGCAUAUUAUAAAUUUCAAGCAGAAAAGUUUGUGGGUUAUUUUUUAAGCCUUUCCACAUUCUACAGUGAGAGAAGUUAGAAGUUAAUGCUAGUUUAUCAAAAUAAUUUAUGCUUUAAAGUUCCUUGAAGAGCAGAGAGAAAAUAAUAACAUCCAUUGCAUUUUUAGGCUUUGGUCUCAGCAGUUCCACUGGUAUAGGAUAUGACAUACUAGAGAAAAAAAGUAACAAAUCAGUCUUAUUAAUGCUAUAUAUUUUUUAAUUCUAAAUGUCGGCAAAUACAAAAUAUCUAUGAUUUUGUUUAAACCAUUGUUCUCUAAAAAUUAAUUUAAAUAUUUUCAAAGAUAUUUUAAAAUCUGUUUUGUUAUCUGUAAUCAGCAUCAAGAUAUAAGAUUAACUGUUCACAAAAAGACAGAUGAAGAGCAUUUCUGUACUUUUCAUCCACUAAGUGAAGGAAAAAAUAAUUCAAGUAAGGUAAAAUAAAGUUGGAAAGUAGAAAAAAGAAAAUUCUAAAAAUCAACAAAAUAUUAUGAAAAUGUUCCAAAUUGACAAAAGUGGAGUGAUGAUCCAGUUCUUUAAAUUACAUAUUGAAAUAAAAUUACUAAUUUUCAUGGGUAUUAUUUCUAAUUUCAUGCUCCAUAAUACAAUCAUCCUGAAACCCCAUCAGCCUUGAUUAGCCAAAUGAAGUUUCCGGAUAUCUAAGUUUGAAAGGAGAGAGUUGGGAACUUGUAGCUGAAAACAACAAUUAAAAAAAAAACAGCUUCACAUCUGUGUUCGCAUCUGAAGUUGCUCUGUAAGAUCUGAUAACUUGUUAGAAAGCAAUCUUUUUUGCAAGGCAGUAGAUUUACAUCAUACAUUUUUCUCUCUCCAAGGAAAUUCUAAUUACUGGUUCCAAUCAUUUCUGAUUGAUUUGCUUUUUAUUCUUCCAAGGUAUUCUCUGCUUUAUGAUGAAAUCAAGCCUUCAAUAAAAUUCCAAAAAUUUUAGAACAAUUUACAAGCUCCAGAUGACUGAAAGUUUUCUCAUGUCCGUUUGGCAUUCAGAAAGAGAGUUUCACCAAGUAUAUUCUGAAGAAGAAUACAUCUGGCACUCACUAAAACAAAGAACUCACCAGUGACAUACUUGAGGCAAAUUAAUGUUGCGUAAAUGCAAAUUUGCCAAUAUUCUUUGAGGCCAAAGCUGCAAUCCAACCUCCAUAUAUUUCAAUGAGUCCUCUUCUAAUGCGCAGGCCACCAGUCACAUGAGUGAAUGUUUGGGGCAUAUUUUAGCAAUCAAUUUAAUAACUACACAUUAUCUUCUAUGUACAAAUUUAAAAUUGCUUAUGUGUAAUGUGGAUUUUUUAAAGAAAAGACUUAGCAUCUGUUGAAGACUUGCCUAAGUUCAUGUCUUCUCUUGGCCUGAUGCAAACUCCAAAUCAUUGACAAAAAGACAACAUAGAAACAAAGAAUUUUAGCCCUAGAAAAAAAAUUAAAAACCAUCUCUUUCAAAGACUUGUUUCAGUAAUAUAAAGCAUAUCAGAAAUCCAAAUGUGUAUUCAUCAUGGGAAUAUUUUCAUGGAUAAUGUAAAUUCUGCUAUUCAAAAAUACUGAAUUUUUAUGCAUCAAUAAGAAAGCAGUCCAAGAAAAUAAAUAAUUUAAUCAACAUUAUUCUUGCAAGAGUCCAUUAUAGGGCUAUCAGUAGUGAAUGAUCCAUUUUUAUCAAUUCAGUAAGAAUACUAGUGUUUUUAAAUGAAUUCUUUCUGUAAGAAGGAGAGGGUUUUUUCCAUCAAUUCUGGUUCCAGCCUUGGCUUCUCCUUCAGCAGUUUCCUAGGAGAAUAUACUUUCACAAAUCAAGUGGACCCAAAUGUUGCCUGGUUUGGAUACAUGGCCAGAAACUGUGGGCUAAUUCUGUGAUUCAUAUCUUGGUCUCUAGCAUGCCAGGGAUGCCCACUGUGGGUCCCCGUUGAACACAGUUACUCUACACUUUGAUUAAGCACUCUUAAGACUCAGCCACACUGAUAGUACAUGUUUGAUUAAGACACACAUUCCAAAGGAUACAGAGACAUAGAUCAUAGUGCUCAGUGUGUGAUCAUCAACAUCUGUGAAUCUCUUCUAAAAUUAUGAGUUUGUCACCACAUACAUCUUCAAAUCUUCCUUUUUUUUUUUUGAAACAGUCUUGCUCCGUCACCCAGGCUGGAGUGCAGUGGCGUGAUCUUGGCUCACUGCAACCUCCUGAGUAGCUGGAAUUACAGGCGCGCACCACCAUGCCCAGCUAAUUUUUGUAUUUUUAGUAGAGAAGGGGUUUUGCUGUGUUGACCAGGCUGGUUUUGAACUCCUGGCCUUAAGUGAAUCACCUGCCUCAGCCUCCCAAAAUGCUGGGAUUACAAGUGUGAACCACCGUGCCCAGCCCAAAUCUUUAAAAUCUCAGAUUCCUCUGAGCUCAGAGCAAUUUUAGGAAGGUGAAUUUACUGCAAUUUCCACUUGCAUUCUGCUAAAUCCAUGCAUCCAGUUUGAAUCCAUAAAGUUGGACUCCAUUAAAUAAAUCAUCCAGCAGGGUGCAGUGGCUCCCGCCUGUAAUCCCAGCACUUUGGGAUGCCGAGGCAGGUGGAUCACAAGGUCAGGAGAUCGAGACCAUCCUGCCCAACAUGGUGAAAUCCUGUCUCCACUAAAAAUA